CCCAUAUCUACCUUGUUAUUAUGUGCGAUGUUGCUAAUUCUAAAGUAGUGAUAGUCCAAGUUACGUUUUUUUUGAGGGACUAUUUUAGUCUCAGAACAGGACAUGUAUCACUCCGCCCAGAAUGAAUUGUUUAAGGUUAAGGAGAACCCCAGGAUGCUUUCCCUCCAUGGAGGUGGCUCCAUCCAACAAGGAGAAGGUGCCCUUGUUCCAUUUGCCCUCCCUUUUGCCCCUUUGACCCACAAACGCUGCAGGAUUAAAAUCUGGUUCUGAAUGUCACCAUCAACUGUAAAGAUGAGCGAAGACUUUAUUACAAUGCCUACUUGUAUCUUAUCUGGAGUCCCAUCCUCUCACUACUGUUCCACUCAUUUCUUGUCCAUGUUCAACAUUUAUACACCUCUGUUUUUGACUAAGGUAAAUGUCCGGUACGGUUAAGACACCCUUCUAGAGUUGCAGGAAUUGCAAGUGAUAUUGCAAGUCCUAGUAAAUGGGUAAGUUCAGAACAAUCUUAUUGCACAAAAA
rnacentral:lncRNA from 1 species